rnacentral:rRNA from 1 species
GAUGAACGCUGGCGGCGUGCCUAACACAUGCAAGUCGAACGGAAAGACGCCAUGCUGGGCUGUCGGAUGUUAGACGCGGGAGUAAGAGUACCGAAUGGAUCCACUGCCUGUAAGUCAGGGAUAAAAUGGGGAAACCGUAGCUCAUAUGGGAUGAUAUUUAGAACCGCGUGGUUGAAAGGAGAAAGUCGGCCUUGCCGUUUGUUAUAGCUGGUUCCGUGCUGCAUUAGCUAGUUGGUAAGGUAACGGCCUACCAAGGCAACGAAGCAUAGCCGACCUGAGAGGGCGAUCGGCCACACUGGAACUGAGACACGGUCCAGACUCCUACGGGAGGCAGCAGUAGGGAAUCUUCGGCAAUGGGCGAAAGCCUGACGCAGCAACGCCGCGUGAGGGAUGAAGGUCUUCGGAUCGUAAACCGCUUUUAUUAGGGAAGAACAUAUUUUGGCGUAUCUGUGGAGAUCUUGACGGUACCUAAACAAAAAGCCACGGCUAACUACGUG